GAUGAACGCUGGCGGCGUGCCUAAUACAUGCAAGUCGAGCGAACGUACUAUGUGCUUGCUCCUCUGACGUUAGCGGCGGACGGUUGAGUAACACGUGGAUAACCUACCUAUAAGACUCGUAUAACUUCGGGAAACCGGAGCUAAUACCGGAUAAUAUAUUGAACCACAUGCUUCAAUACUGAAAGACGGUUUUGCUGUCACUUAUAGAUCUAUCCGCUCCGCAUUAGCUAGUUGGUAAGGUAACGGCUUACCAAGGCAACGAUGCGUAGCCGACCUGAGAGGGUGAUCGGCCACAUUGGAACUGAGACACGGUCCAGACUCCUACGGGAGGCAGCAGUAGGGAAUCUUCCGCAAUGGGCGAAAGCUUGACGGAGCAACGCCGCGUGAGUGGUGAAGGUCUUCGGAUCGUAAAACUCUGUUAUUAGGGAAGAACAAAUGUGUAAGUAACUAUGCACGUCUUGACGGUACCUAAUCAGAAAGCCACGGCUAACUACGUG
rnacentral:rRNA from 1 species